rnacentral:rRNA from 1 species
AUUGAACGCUGGCGGCAGGCCUAACACAUGCAAGUCGAACGGUAACAGGAAGAAGCUUGCUUCUUUGCUGACGAGUGGCGGACGGGUGAGACAUGUCUGGGAAACUGCCUGAUGGAGGGGGAUAACUACUGGAAACGGUAGCUAAUACCGCAUAACGUCGCAAGACCAAAGAGGGGGACCUUCGGGCCUCUUGCCAUCGGAUGUGCCCAGACGGGGUUAGCGAGUAGGUAGGGUAACGGGUUACCUAGUCGACGAUCCCUAGCUGGUCUGAGAGGGUGACCGGCCACACUGGAACUGAGACACGGUCCAGACUCCUACGGGAGGCAGCAGUUGGGAAUCUUUCGAAAUGGGCGGAAGCCUGACGGAGCCACGCCGCGUGGGUGAAGAAGGGCUUCGGGUUGGAAAAGUCUUUUAUGAGGGAAGAAAGGAGGUAAAAUUAACCCCUCACCUCUUGACGGUACCCAGCCAAAAAGCACCGGCUAACUCCGUG